GCCACUUUAGCUCAGCUGGCCAGAGCAUCGCACUUGUAAUGCGAGGGUCCCCAGUUCGAAUCUGGGAAGUGGCU
rnacentral:tRNA from 1 species